rnacentral:rRNA from 1 species
GACGUAGGGCGCGAGCGUUGUCCGGAUUUAUUGGGCGUAAAGAGCUCGUAGGCGCCUGUCGCGUCGACUGUGAAAUCCCGCGGCUCAACUGCGGGUCUGCAGUCGAUACGGGCAGGCUCGAGUCCGGAAGAGGCGAGUGGAAUUCCUGGUGUAGCGGUGAAAUGCGCAGAUAUCAGGAGGAACACCAAUGGCGAAGGCAGCUCGCUGGGACGGUACUGACGCUGAGACGCGAAAGCGUGGGGAGCAAACAGG